rnacentral:rRNA from 1 species
ACUCAAGAAUAGAAUAUAAGUUCGACCUAAAGUUUCUUCAGUAUUACAAUAUAACCCUAUACACUUUAGAGCUAUUCAAUUAAGUUACAGCUUAAUUGAAACAGGAUACAACCUCCACCUACGGGUAAUAUAAAUAAGUACUAAUCAAGUAGGCCUAAAAGCAGCCAUCUUUAAAAGAGCGUCAAAGCCCCAUUAAUCUCUAUACAAAUACCACAAAUAAAUUAAAACCCUACACCAGUAUUGAGUAAUUUUAUAAUUAUAUAAAAACUACAAUGUUAAAACUAGUAACAAGAAACUACUAUUCUCUUAAAUGUACACGUAAACCAGCAUGAAUAACCCGCUGGUAAUUAAACAGUUAUAAACUACAGUAAUACCCUCUCUAGAAAACCUUACUAAAACUACUAUUAACCUAACACAAGAACAUUUUAAGAAAGACUAAAAGAAAAAGAAGGAACUUGGCAAACAUUGACUCCGCCUGUUUACCAAAAACAUCACCUCAUGAAUACUCAUAAGAGGCCAGGCCUGCCCAGUGAUAAUUUUAACGGCCGCGGUAUCCUAACCGUGCAAAGGUAGCGUAAUCACCUGUUUCUUAAUUAGAGACCUGUAUGAAUGGCAUCACGAGAGUCACACUGUCUCCUCUUUCAAGUCAGUGAAACUAAUCUUUCUGUGAAAAAGCAGAAAUUCUUAAACAAGACGAGAAGACCCUUUGGAGCUUAAGACCAAUAAAAUUUGUGCCUCCUACUUUACACACACCACCCGCAAUAUAAAUUUUAAUAGUCUUCAGUUGGGGCAACUACGGAGUAAAAAUAACCCUCCAAGAUGAACGGAAUUUUCCUAAACUAAAAGCCACAGCUUUACGUAUCAACAAAAUGACAUUAUUAGACCCAAUAAAUUUGAUUAACGAACUAAGUUACCCUAGGGAUAACAGCGCAAUCCACCCUAAGAGUCCCUAUCGACGAGUGGGCUUACGACCUCGAUGUUGGAUCAAGGCAUCCCAGUGGUGCAACCGCUACUAAAGGUUCGUUUGUUCAACGAUUAAAGCCUU